rnacentral:rRNA from 1 species
UACGUAGGGGGGCAAGCGUUGUCCGGAUUUAUUGGGCGUAAAGAGCGUGUAGGCGGCUUGACAAGUCUGCUGUGAAAAACUCGAGGCUCAACCCUCGAGCUGUCGGUGGAAACUGUCUGGCUAGAGUCCGGAAGAGGAGAGUGGAAUUCCUGGUGUAGCGGUGAAAUGCGCAGAAUAUCAGGAAGAACACCUAUGGGCGAAAGGGCAGCUCUCUGGGACGGUACUGACGCUGAGACGCGAAAGCGUGGGGAGCGAAACAGG